rnacentral:tRNA from 1 species
AUUUAAGUAGCUUAAAUUAAAGCAUGAUAUUGAAGAUAUCAGGAUAAACUUAGUUUCUUAAAUA